rnacentral:misc_RNA from 1 species
AACAAGGCGUACCUGCGGACCUGCGGAAGGAUCAUUACACAAUAAACAUAUGAAGGCUGCACCGCCAACAGGCGGCAAGGCUGGAGUAUUUUAUUACCCUUGUCUUUUGCGCACUUGUUGUUUCCUGGGCGGGUUCGCCCGCCUCCAGGACCACAUGAUAAACCUUUUUUAUGCAGUUGCAAUCAGCGUCAGUACAACAAAUGUAAAUCAUUUACAACUUUUAGCAAUGGAUCUCAGAUC